rnacentral:tRNA from 1 species
GGGGAUAUAGCUCAGUUGGUAGAGUGCUAGGCUUGCAUACAUAAGGCCCUGGGUUCAAUCCCCAGCACCACCA